UACGAAGGGGGCUAGCGUUGUUCGGAAUUACUGGGCGUAAAGCGAACGUAGGCGGUUUUCCAUGUCAGAGGUGAAAGCCUGGGGCUCAACUCCAGAAUUGCCUUUGAAACGGGAACGCUUGAGUCCGAGAGAGGGUGGUGGAAUUCCUAGUGUAGAGGUGAAAUUCGUAGAUAUUAGGAAGAACACCAGUGGCGAAGGCGGCCCCCUGGCCCGGUACUGACGCUCAGGUUCGAAAGCGUGGGGAGCAAACAGG
rnacentral:rRNA from 1 species